GCGGGGUAAUGGCCCACCAAGGCGACGACGGGUAGCUGGUCUGAGAGGAUGACCAGCCACAUUGGGACUGAGACACGGCCCAGACUCCUACGGGAGGCAGCAGCGGGGAAUAUUGCACAAUGGGCGCAAGCCUGAUGCAGCGACGCCGCGUGAGGGAUGAAGGCCUUCGGGUUGUAAACCUCUUUCAGUAGGGAAGAAGCGAAAGUGACGGUACCUGCAGAAGAAGCGCCGGCUAACUACGUGCCAGCAGCCGCGGUAAUACGUAGGGCGCAAGCGUUAUCCGGAAUUAUUGGGCGUAAAGAGCUCGUAGGCGGUUUGUCGCGUCUGCCGUGAAAGUCCGGGGCUCAACUCCGGAUCUGCGGUGGGUACGGGCAGACUAGAGUGAUGUAGGGGAGACUGGAAUUCCUGGUGUAGCGGUGAAAUGCGCAGAUAUCAGGAGGAACACCGAUGGCGAAGGCAGGUCUCUGGGCAUUAACUGACGCUGAGGAGCGAAAGCAUGGGGAGCGAACAGGAUUAGAUACCCUGGUAGUCCAUGCCGUAAACGUUGGGCACUAGGUGUGGGGGACAUUCCACGUUUUCCGCGCCGUAGCUAACGCAUUAAGUG
rnacentral:rRNA from 1 species